CCUACGGGUGGCUGCAGUGGGGAAUAUUGGACAAUGGGGGGAACCCUGAUCCAGCCAUGCCGCGUGUGUGAAGAAGGCCCUCGGGUUGUAAAGCACUUUCAGUGAGGAAGAACGCCUGGUGGUUAAUACCCAUCAGGAAAGACAUCACUCACAGAAGAAGCACCGGCUAACUCCGUGCCAGCAGCCGCGGUAAUACGGAGGGUGCGAGCGUUAAUCGGAAUUACUGGGCGUAAAGCGCGCGUAGGUGGCUUGAUAAGCCGGUUGUGAAAGCCCCGGGCUCAACCUGGGAACGGCAUCCGGAACUGUCAAGCUAGAGUGCAGGAGAGGAAGGUAGAAUUCCCGGUGUAGCGGUGAAAUGCGUAGAGAUCGGGAGGAAUACCAGUGGCGAAGGCGGCCUUCUGGACUGACACUGCCACUGAGGUGCGAAAGCGUGGGUAGCAAACAGGAUUAGAUACCCCUGUAGUC
rnacentral:rRNA from 1 species